AUUGAACGCUGGCGGCAUGCCUUACACAUGCAAGUCGAACGGAUUCAAGGGGCUUGCUCCUUGAGUUAGUGGCGAACGGGUGAGUAAAGCAUCGGAACGUACCCAGUCGUGGGGGAUAACGUAGCGAAAGUUACGCUAAUACCGCAUACGAUAUGAGGAUGAAAGCGGGGGACCUUCGGGCCUCGCGCGAUUGGAGCGGCCGAUGUCGGAUUAGCUAGUUGGUGAGGUAAGAGCUCACCAAGGCGACGAUCCGUAGCUGGUCUGAGAGGAUGAUCAGCCACACUGGGACUGAGACACGGCCCAGACUCCUACGGGAGGCAGCAGUGGGGAAUUUUGGACAAUGGGCGAAAGCCUGAUCCAGCCAUGCCGCGUGAGUGAAGAAGGCCUUCGGGUUGUAAAGCUCUUUCAGACGGAAAGAAAUGGCUUCGGUGAAUAUCCGAGGUCGAUGACGGUACCGUAAGAAGAAGCACCGGCUAACUACGUGCCAGCCGCCGCCGUAA
rnacentral:rRNA from 1 species